UCCCUGGUGGUUCAAUGGUUAGGACUUGGCGCUUUCGCUGCCCAGGGUGCGGGUUCAAUCCCAGGUCAGGGAA
rnacentral:tRNA from 1 species